rnacentral:rRNA from 1 species
UACGAAGGGGGCUAGCGUUGCUCGGAAUCACUGGGCGUAAAGCGCACGUAGGCGGAUUGUUAAGUCAGGGGUGAAAUCCUGGAGCUCAACUCCAGAACUGCCUUUGAUACUGAUGAGCUUGAGUUCGGGAGAGGUGAGUGGAACUGCGAGUGUAGAGGUGAAAUUCGUAGAUAUUCGCAAGAACACCGGUGGCGAAGGCGGUUCUCUGGGCCUUACCUGACGCUGAGGAGCGAAAGCGUGGGGAGCGAACAGG